rnacentral:rRNA from 1 species
GUUUGAUCCUGGCUCAGGAUGAACGCUGGCGGCGUGCCUAAUACAUGCAAGUCGAGCGAAUGGAUUAAGAGCUUGCUCUUAUGAAGUUAGCGGCGGACGGGUGAGUAACACGUGGGUAACCUGCCCAUAAGACUGGGAUAACUCCGGGAAACCGGGGCUAAUACCGGAUAACAUUUUGAACCGCAUGGUUCGAAAUUGAAAGGCGGCUUCGGCUGUCACUUAUGGAUGGACCCGCGUCGCAUUAGCUAGUUGGUGAGGUAACGGCUCACCAAGGCAACGAUGCGUAGCCGACCUGAGAGGGUGAUCGGCCACACUGGGACUGAGACACGGCCCAGACUCCUACGGGAGGCAGCAGUAGGGAAUCUUCCGCAAUGGACGAAAGUCUGACGGAGCAACGCCGCGUGAGUGAUGAAGGCUUUCGGGUCGUAAAACUCUGUUGUUAGGGAAGAACAAGUGCUAGUUGAAUAAGCUGGCACCUUGACGGUACCUAACCAGAAAGCCACGGCUAACUACGUGCCAGCAGCCGCGGUAAUAC